rnacentral:rRNA from 1 species
AAAGGAAUAGACGGGACCCUGCACAAGCGGUGGAUCAUGUUGUUUAAUUCGUGGAUACGCGAAGAACCUUACCAGGCCUUGACAUCUUCUGCAAAGCUAUAGAGAUAUAGUGGAGGUUAACAGAAAGACAGGUGGUGCAUGGUUGUCGUCAGCUCGUGUCGUGAGAUGUUGGGUUAAGUCCCGUAACGAGCGCAACCCUUGUUGCUAGUUGCCAUCAUUAAGUUGGGGACUCUAGCGAGACUGCCAGUGAUAAACUGGAGGAAGGCGGGGAUGACGUCAAAUCAUCAUGCCCCUUAUGGCCUGGGCUACAAACGUGAUACAAUGGCUGAAACAAAGAGAAGCGAAGGGGUGACCUGGAGCGGAACUCAUAAAAGCAGUCUCAGUUCGGAUUGGAGUCUGCAACUCGACUCCAUGAAGUCGGAAUCGCUAGUAAUCGUAGGUCAGCAUACUACGGUGAAUACGUUCUCGGGGUUUGUACACACCGCCCGU